GGAUUCCCCUAGUAACGGCGAGUGAAGAGGGAAUAGCCCAGCACCGAAGCCUGCGACAGUUUUGUUGUUAGGCAAUGUGGUGUUUGGGUCGGCUAGUGGGAUUGCCACUCCACUCGAAGUCCAGCAUUGAGUAUGGUCACUGGAUUUGGCCCAGAGAGGGUGAAAGGCCCGUACGGGUGGAGGUCUCAGACAAGUAAGGCAAUUCACCAGGCCGGCCUUAGAGUCGGGUUGUUUGUGAAUGCAGCCCAAAGUGGGUGGUAAACUCCAUCCAAGGCUAAAUACAAGCACGAGUCCGAUAGCGAACAAGUACCGUGAGGGAAAGUUGAAAAGUACUUUGAAGAGAGAGUAAACAGUACGUGAAACCGCAUGCAGGUAAACGGGUGGCGUCAAGCUGCAAGCCCAGAGGAUUCAGCUGGCUAGGAUGUUGUGUAUGCGCUUGCGCAUCUAUCAGUCAGAAUAAGAUGUGAUAGUCCACUGGUAAACGGUGGGCCCGGCCGCAAGGUUGGGAUAUGUGUACCGGGCGGAAGCCGGAGCAUGCUAUUCGUCUGUUGGGCUGUCUAGUCAGUGCACUUUCUCUGUGGUGAACACCACGACCGGUGGAAUUGCCAGUCUGCUGUAGUCAAGUCGUAUUCAGUCGGUUCUUGUAGCCAACUGGGUGCGAUCACAGGCAAACUCAGUAAACGGCGUAGGGGUGUUUCGGCAUCCCUGCGUGUUAUCGGCUGCUGGUUGUCAACGGGCCUGCCUGAUGAUUGUUGUAACCGUCAUUGGGUGGUCUGGUGGGCUAUGGUGGUAAGAAUAACUGUGCAAGGCAUCGGAGUUCUCGGCCUCAAAUGCAUCCUGCAUACACGUUACAAGUGGAGUGGG
rnacentral:rRNA from 1 species